AGAAAAGGAAACCAAAACACAGUGGAACUUGCCCAAGGAGGAGAGAAAAGGGACGUGGUGCCAGAGCCCAUCCUGUUGCCAGAAACAAUGCUUGUUCGGGGCAGCUGCUGGAGAAACUCAGAUCCAAAGGAGGGAUGGGGAAUACUGGGAUACCCGUAACAGCUUUUAGAGUCCUGGACAUGCGGCCUGAAACCCAGAAAAUAUACCUGGAAUUGGGCAACCACACCAUCGCUGAGGCACAAGCAGCGCCUAGUGAGAUCACUUAAAGCCAGGAGAGAGCCUCCCAUGAGGAAAGCUAUUACUCCAAGCUUCUUCUUACUGUAAGUUACUUUAGAGCUGCAGAAUUCUUAGCAAUGCAAAGCGUGCACAGUGCCUCUCAGUUGCAGAGUAUAAAGUGGGGAGAAGGUGGUUCUGGGCCAAUCUGGAGUCUCUUGUUAUAGGUUUAUUUGGGGGGGAUUUUCCAUGCUUCAAUAGUUGUGUCUGCUGUUGGUGGGAAAGUAAAUUGGUACAGCCACUAUGGAGAACGGUAUGGAAGUUCCUCAAAAAACUAAAAAUAGAGCUACCAUAUGAUCCAGCAAUCCCACUCCUGGGCUUAUAUCCAGAGAAAACCAUACUUCGAAAAAAUACACGCACCCGAAUGUUUAUUGCAGCACUAUUCACAAUAGCCAAGACAUGGAAGCAACCUAAAUGUCCAUCGACAGAUGAAUGGAUGAAGAAGAUGUGGUAGAUAUGUGCAAUGGAAUAUUUCUCAGCCAUAAAAAAGAAUGAAAUAAUGCCAUUUACAAAACAGAAAUAGACUCACAGACAUAGAAAACAAACUUAUGGUUACCAAAGGUGAAAGGUAGGGAGGGAUAAAUUAGUAGGUUGGGAUUAACAUAUACACACCACUGUAUAUAAAAUAAAUAAUCAGCAAGGACCUACUGUAUAGCACAGGGAACUCUACUCAGU